AGGGCACUGAUGGCCAAACCAGAGCAGACCUGACUCAGGCCAUGUGCCAACAGCUGAACAUCUAGUGGGGCCUGGACUUCUGACCUCCAGUGCUCUGAGUCUGCCUAGGUGCUACAGUCUGUGCAUGAGCUGGGCCUCGCCAACAGCCACAGGUGGCAGAUCUCCGGCGAGUCAUGUCACUUGUCUCAGAUUUAUCAAGCUGGAAACAUGACUGAGAGGAGACUUGAGCUAUGUCAACCAAAUCCAUCCCUCUGAGCAAAAGGAGCAGAGACACACGCGUUGCUCUGGGCACAGCCAUGAAUCCAUUUGUGCCAAAGACAGAAGGGAGAUUGGAAAUAAGCAAAAGAGAGGCAGAAAUAAUGGAUGCAACUUUCGGAAGCAUGGCGUAGAUGUUGCACACCAACCUGAACAGAAGCCUCAGUCUUACCUGAGGAGGAGCCACUCAGACCUUGUUGCCCUUCCUUCUGAAGAGGGGAGGUCGAGGCCGUCAGGACCUGAAAGGAGAUGAGCAGCUCAGAGUGACCGGAACUCAACCUAAGGCCGCUGGGCAGCCAGAACAGGUGGGCCAGAUACAAAGCCGGAGGAGCCGCACCUGCCCGGGACGCACUGCCACACCCUCUGCUGUGGCCGCCAGGGCCAGGGUGUGGGCCUGGCUGUCCCCGAAGACCAAGUGCAGCCGGAGGAGGUGGGGCGGGCUUGUGUGAAGACGGGG
ensembl:lncRNA